rnacentral:rRNA from 1 species
CUACGGGAGGCAGCAGUGGGGAGUAUUGGACAAUGGGGGCAACCCUGAUCCAGCAAUGCCGCGUGGGUGAUGAAGGCCUUCGGGUUGUAAAGCCCUUUCGGCGGGGACGAUGAUGACGGUACCCGCAGAAGAAGCCCCGGCUAACUUCGUGCCAGCAGCCGCGGUAAUACGAAGGGGGCUAGCGUUGUUCGGAAUGACUGGGCGUAAAGGGCGCGUAGGCGGCGCAUUUAGUCAGGCGUGAAAGCCCUGGGCUCAACCUAGGAAUUGCGCUUGAUACUGGUGUGCUGGAGUGCGGGAGAGGAUGGUGGAAUUCCCAGUGUAGAGGUGAAAUUCGUAGAUAUUGGGAAGAACACCGGUGGCGAAGGCGGCCAUCUGGACCGUUACUGACGCUGAGGCGCGAAAGCGUGGGGAGCAAACAGGAUUAGAAACCCUUGUAGUCC